rnacentral:rRNA from 1 species
UACGGGGGGAGCAAGCGUUGUUCGGAUUUACUGGGCGUAAAGGGCGCGUAGGCGGCGCAACAAGUCACUUGUGAAAUCUCCGGGCUUAACCCGGAGCGGCCAAGUGAUACUGUCGUGCUAGAGUGCGGAAGGGGCUACUGGAAUUCUCGGUGUAGCGGUGAAAUGCGUAGAGAUCAGGAAGAACACCAGUGGCGAAGGCGCUCUGCUAGGCCGUAACUGACACUGAGGGACGAAAGCUAGGGGAGCGAAUGGG